GUGGUACCCAGUCCUCAGGUGCAACCCCCUGCGUGGUCCUCUGUGGCAGCCUUCUCUCAUUCAGAGCUGUUUUCCACAGAGGUAGUGAAAAGAACUGGAUUUUCAAGUUCACUUUGCAAGAGAAAUAGAAGGGAGGAGGACCUAUUUUGUUCCAUCCUGUAGGCUGAUCCUUUACACCUAGGACUGGAAGAAAUAAGAAACAGAGUAUCACUAUGUGGCCCAAGCUGGUCUGGACCUCCUAGGUGCAAGAGAUCCUCCCACCUCAGCCUAAAACACAGAUUUUAAUGCCCAAUUUUGUUAUAAUAAGAAUUAAAUAAGUUAAUGGGUUGCAGCAGCUCAGACAAUCCUUACCAUGUGAAAGGAGGAAUGACUGUCAUGGCAUGAAAAAAGCAUCACUAUGAAAAAGAAAACUCAGUAGAAGAUAAUGGCAAGUCCAGACUGGGGAUAUGAUGACAAAAAUGGUCCUGAACAAUGGAGCAAGCUGUAUCCCA
rnacentral:lncRNA from 10 species